GAUUUCUGGCUUGAAACAUUUUGCCGGCCACGGUUUCGUGUGUUAGUGCUUGAUGUUCUGGCCAUCCUUCCAAUUGCUAUACAUCUUUCUUCAUUGAAGGGUGUGUGGUAUUGGAUCUUUUACUUUGAAAAAAUUAGAGUGUUUAAAGCAGGCUUGCGCUAUGAAUACAUUAGCAUGGAAUAAUAAUUUAGGACUUUGGUUCUAUUUUGUUGGUUUCUAGGACUGAAGUAAUGAUUGAUAGGGACAGUUGGGGGUGCUAGUAUUCAGCGGCCAGAGGUGAAAUUCUUGGAUUCGCUGAAGACUAACUUAUGCGAAAGCAUU
rnacentral:rRNA from 1 species